AUAAGCCUGAGCAGCGGAGACGUCAGCACCGAUGGUAGCUGAACUACAGCUGUAAGACUGCCAAAAAAACUCUGAACUGUGCGGAUCGUUGACUGUCAGGACAACGUAGAUUUGGCCAGACAAGUGAGAUCAAAGGACCAUCUAGCCACGUAUACUGGCUCAGAGUGGCCAACAAUCUAUAUUCAAGGAAAAAAAUUAAAGACUAAGGAUAAAAUGGACUCUAUAUACAAGCUGAAGAUUUUUGUGAUGCUUUUAUCUGUUGCUACUUUCACAGUCAUGGUGAUACUGAAUGCUGGAAAUGCCACUGGAUUAUUCAAAGGUAAUGCAAGCAAUUGUUUAGUAGUCAUUGUUUAGAGAGGUAGAUCUUGUGUAUCAUAUCACUUUAUGGUAUAAUGGUGCCUUAGGUGCGCUCUAUUUCCCUUCUCCAAAUACACCCUUAUCAGAGCAAGGAGGAAGCAGUUAGUGCAUCCUCCAGGUGUUACAGACAGGUGCCUGAGCCCUUUCCAGUCCUUUUAAAUUGAAGUAGUCUUGUCCCUGGUGAACCUGGAUCUAGCUGUGGGUGAAAAGCAAUUUUGACAUAUAUUGCACUUGUAUCCCUGGCUGAAGCUGUUCAGGCCCUGUUUAUAGAGGGCAGUGGUUCUUGGUUUGAACACUAUCCAGCUGAGUGUCACAAAUGGAUGCUGUGCUUCUCUCUGGCUCUUACAUGUAACUGGCUUUUCUGGUUCUGUGCAAGAAGAAGAUGCUCAGGGUUCCCCACAAGGGAUAGUGAUCCCAUAAUGGGUUUUUAAAGGCAAGGCAAUUGCAGCAUGUGGUUUGUUUUCAACAAGGGCAUCCUCUCAUCUCCCUCAGAUCUAUUGAGGUGUGGACUAAGCCUUGAGGAAGAUUGCAGGGUGAGAAAACCAACAGUCUUUCCCCAUCCUCCGUAUGUAGUAACACAUUAGUCUGCAAUAACAUUCACCACUGUAGGUCUGUUCCGGACAACCCCUGGAAACAUCUCGGAUAAGUACAACACUGACUUCACACCAGCUGGCUGGACUUUCCUCAUCUGGAAUGUCAUCUAUGCCUGGCAGCUUGCCUGGCUCCUGUACGCCUUGUCAGGGAUCUGUCGAAGGAAUGAACUUGGAUGUGUAUACAUAAAGCCAGACUUGUUGCCAAUACCUUUUUACGUGGCAUGGAUUCUAAAUAAUGGACUCAACGUUGGAUGGCUAUUUCUGUGGGACCGAGAAUACCUCCUCCCAGCCCUGGUGAUCCUGGUAGCCCUCACUCUUACCAUGUAUGCCGCUCUCUUCAUCUCACACAGAGCCUUGAGUAUCCAUUCCUCGUGGUUUGUGAAGGGUCACAAAGCUGAACUCUGGCUCAUCCGGAUCCUAGUAGGUGGCAUUUAGGAAAUUGCACAGUUAGUAAGUGCUCAAAACAAACAAACAGGGAAAAAACAACCCACACCUCUGUGUAGUGCUAAAGGUGUUGAGAAUGAAAGGUUCAAGGGCAGGAGAUAGGGAAGGGGGGAUUUCUGCCCUGACUCUAACUUGCAGGAGCACAUAGGCUUAAUUGUAGC
rnacentral:lncRNA from 1 species